UUAUUUUUUCGUGAGUUGGCAAUAUCUCUCAGGACAUGACGUUUUUGUUUGGCAACAAUUUCCGGGUGGUGCGUGUUUCGUGAUCAAAGAUGGUUGUGUUGUUUAUGUUAUGACUUUUAACCAGAUAUUUUUCUUCCAAAUAAACUUUCAUUUUCGUCUAUGGGAUGGUGAAUUCUUUAAAGAGGACUUGUUAUAAUUUCUCUAGAGCAUUAAGAGCAGUUGUGAAAAACUUAGUAAUUUGAUUUUUGAAGAAAUAAUUUAUGAAAGGAAAACCAAAGUGAUGCAACUUACUAUAUUUUAAUAUUGGAGAAAAAGAAAAACUUAUAUCUAAUGGCUGUUGAAGAACAUGCUGAAGAAGAUAAAUCAAUCCUUGCUAUGACAACAAAUUUUAAGCAUACUCCAAAUGGCUUGUUAUCCAUAGGGAAAUCUUCUAAUCCUAACAGCUUGUUUGUGACAAAUCUUGUAAAAGAGACUACUGGUGAAGAUGAUGAACUCACUAGUUUGGCAUGGUUACAGGACACUAAUCUCCUGAAAAAUUUUCAGGUAGGCAACUAUGGAAUAGAAAGUGAGGAUGUUCUAAGCGACAGCCCAUCAAGUGACUAUUUGGAUGAAACAAUUGAGCAUGUUACUGUAAAUGGCAGUGAAAGUAGUGAACAGAAUGUGAGUGAGGCAAUUUCAGGCCACGCACCGUACAAUCCAACCCUUCAUGCCAAUUCAAAACCUCCAUUUUCUUUCAGUUGCCUCAUUUUCAUGGCUAUUGAAGAAUCAGCAAAUAAGGCUUUGCCUGUCAAAGAUAUAUAUAAUUGGAUUCUUACUCGUUUUCCAUAUUUUCAAAAUGCACCUACUGGUUGGAAGAACUCAGUUCGUCACAAUUUGUCUUUAAGUAAAUGCUUUCGAAAAGUGGAAAAGGAAAAAGGCCAGAAUGUUGGGAAAGGAUCAUUAUGGUGUAUUGAUCCUGAGUUCCGUCCUAAUCUUGUACAAGCCUUACAAAAAGCACCGAGUAUGGCAAAUGUGGAAUUUAGCCAGUUCGCAUGCGUUUCAGCAAAUUCAAAUGGAAAAAUUGAUAGUGAAAUUAAACCAUGUCUUCUAGUGUCUUCCCAAGAAGCAAUACAAAUUCCUUCCCCAGAGCUUUUUCCGUUUCUUUCUCGACGUCUUGCUAGUAGUAUGAAAGAUCCUGAAGUAGAUGCUGCCGCUACAAUGCUCACUUUAAAAAAUUCUCCAAGUGUAAUUACCCAAAGCAUCAGUGAGGAAUCAGAAAAUGAUUCUAUACAAUCCAAUCAAAAAUUUGUUCGUAAAAGAUUAAGAUUGAAGCAUGUCUCACAAACACCUGCAGCCAAGAAAAUUAAAGUCACUAAACCUGUAAUAACUAGCAGUCCAAGUGAAGAUCACACCUACAGUGCCUGCCUGAAUGAUCCAAAAUGUAGCCUUAGUAUAACAUCAGAGCUAGAUGAUGAGUUACCUCGAUGGCCUGGCGAGAAAAACAACAAUGAUGGAAAGGUUACUUUCAAUGGAAAGUGCACAUCCAAAGUGACCUUGCUGUCAAGAAAAAACGAGGCAGAGGAAGGGGCUCAUGCUCUUAUGAAUUUGGCUGAAAUUGCUUCAAAACGAUUGUUAAGAAAGUCUCAUGGCAAGCAUUCUUGAAUAAGUGUGUUUUGCUUUCUGUGAGGACAUUAGUACAAUCAUUUUUAAAUAUUAUCUUUUUUGCUAGUAGUUUUUCUUUUGUUUUAUACUUUUUAUUUAUAUUGUAUGAAGGACUGUAUAAUUUAUAAAAUAAUGAACAUUGCCACAACUUAAAAUUAGAAUAUUAUUUGUGAGUGUCCAAUGGCUAUAAUUUUACUAAAACUAAAGGCUUUUUUUUUUUGUUAUAGAUUUUUGAAAGGUUUUAUCUAAUGAAUUUAGAAACGUGGUUUGAUUAGAAUUGUUAAAUGAAACCUGCAAAGCUGACUAUCUCCUCAAACUGAUCCAUUCCCAAUCUUAUUUAAGUCAAUUCAACAAGUACAAUUAUAAAAGAAAUGGCGUAAUUUAUGCCUUUACGAAAUGAUUAAUAAACAAAUGUUGCCUUGCUUGUAGUCAGCUAACAUAGAUUUAACAGCAUCAUUUUUCUUUAUCACUUCAUAAUCAUCAUGUCCCCCCCCCCUCUUUUUUACUCUUAUUAUUAACAUUAUUCAAUUUUCCUGCUAAUCAAAACAAUUUUUGGAAAUAUUUUACUUUACUACUAAUUUCGAAGAAAAGUCAUUAGUUUUUUUUUUUUUUAUUAUUGCUGAUUCAACAUAAUUGAUAUCUUUUAUAUAUUAAUCAACACUGGUGUAAAUUUACUACUACAGGUCAUCUAUUAUUCACAUGAUGAAUAUUUUACUGAUAUUGCAAUUAGUUUAUCUAUCCAUCCCAAUAUUUAUAAUAAAAUCAUUUCAGAAUAAAUGAAACGGUAGGUAUUAGUUGAUUGUAGCUGAAUUGAUUAAUCUCAAGUUUUAAUGAUUUGUUGGUUCAAUACUUGAUCAGGGUGGCUAUCCGCCUAGAAUUAUCAGUAAAUUUUUUAUACCGGAAAAGUCAGGGAAAUUUGCAACAUAUUUUUUCUUCGAUUUUAGUAUUUUAAAUUAUUUUACCAUCUGUUAUACCCAUUUUUUUAGACAGAAAUUAUCACCAAAAAGUUGAAAUAUCAACUUUGCUAUAGUUUGCAUCAAAAUUUGCUCCAUCCUGUUAAACUAUUAUGCCACAUGAAGCAUGGUUGCUAAAUAAACGUAGAAACCUUUGUCCUCUUACGAAAAUAUGCAGUUUAGUAAAGGCAAAGAUUGUGGUGGUGAAGGUGAAAAAAGGGGUUAAGUUUAAGUUUGUUGUAUUAUUUUUUUUUCUUUUGACAAAAUGUUCUAAUAUUUUUAACUUUAUAAAAUUUACCGAAAAUUAGUUGGAUAAAAUUAAUUAACACUCUUUUUCUGAAAGCUUUUAUACUCCUAUCCAAAGAAAUCGUUGAAUUAGUUUUUCUCAGCGAAGCCAACUAAUCACACAUUUUCUUACAAUCGCUAACAGCAUUGCUUGUCGACAAAUCGUUAUAAUUGUUGUAUUGAUGCUAAUUUUUCAAUUUAAUGUUUUAUAACACAUUUCAAUUUGAAAAGGUUCUUUUAAGAAUUAUCAAUAUCUUUGCAUCUAAUUUUACAAAUUCGCUGGUAAAUAUUUGAUUUUUGAUUCGAAUAGUGUAGUAAUCACAAAGUCGAAAUUUCGUAUGCGUUGCUUGCAUUCCAGAGAUUAUGUUUCCGAAACUUUUUCACCUUUUACCUUAUAAAGCUGACAACAACAUAUGUGUUUAUUAGGAUGAAGGAGAACGAAGCUUUGAUUUUUUGUUCUGCACUAUACAAGUAUAAGUUUCUAGUUGUAAAAAUAGAAAAACUUAACUAAUCUAAACUUAAAAAAGCCAUGUGGUUAGAUUGAAAUUCUUUAAGUAUUUCAAUUUCAAAUAGGAAAAAAAAAAAGAAUAAAAUUUAAGAAAUUUUGUCCUGUUCUUUUCCAAAGAGUAUGCAACAAGAAAUUAGACAAAUUUGCAUGUGCAACAUUCAUUCUUGAAUACUAAAUAUAUUUUAAAAUAAUAAUGCCAAUUCAAAACAAGCAACAUUAUUUAAACAUUCGACUUUAAAUAUUGGUUUAAAGAAAGUAUGACCAAUGAAUUUUAUAAAGAGGAUUGUUUGGAUAAAAUACAGUAUAAAAUGGCUCUAUAUCAAAAUGUGAAUAAAUAUAAAACUUUAUUGAAGUAUAAUAUUCUUAAAUUAUUUUUUUUUUUUUGCUUAAUGAAAAUAUAUUGAAGGAUUCUGUCCAAGAUUUUUUGGGUCGCUCUGGAUUUACCAUUUGGUACACUUAGUGCAAAAGCUUUUUAAGUAACAAAUUAAAACAUUUUUUAUUCAAUAAAAACAUUAUAGUUUACAAGCUAAACGUAUUAUUUUCUCCAAAUCAAUAAUCUUUUAAAAAUUAAAUAUCGUACCAAAACUUUAAAAAGUAAACAACAACAUCUUGCGAAAUUGUUAAAAUAAAUUUAGUCAAAUAAUUCUUUCAAGAUAUAUUUAAAUAAAAUAACAUUUUAAAUAAAAUACUUCAUUGAAAUUUUUUUUUUGUACCCAUCCUACAUUUUAUGAGGGAAAAGAGAAAAAAACACUGAUCUUGAAAUUUUUAGAUUUUUACUUGGAAAAAUUGGGGAAAUUCAAAACUUGAUUUGAGUGGCCACCCUGCUGAUUGAACUGAUAAAGUAAUUUUUGAGGUGUAAUUGUUUUUUUUAAUUUUUUCAUUAAAAAAGUUGUGUAAACUAAGUGGAUUGUUAGACAAUGUUUUUUUUUGUGUAAACUCUUAUUUCUAAUUUAUCUAAAAAGAUAGAAGCCCAAAAAAGAACUCUUUAUUUUGCUUAUCAUCUUAAAUAUGUCCGUCUUUCUUCAUCUUAUCAACUAAAAAUUUUUAUUUUAUUUAUUGUUAAUGGCUCUUCAUUUUGCACAGAAUAAUUUUAUCAUAUUUCUACAUUUAAAUUUUUCUUAUUUUCUACACUUAUAUAGUAAUUAACAUACUUAAUAAGUAAAAAAUUGCCAUUCUCUAUCAUUUGAUAACAAUAAAUUUUACUAUUUGCUGAUAGUUUUAAAAAAUUUGUAUUUUAGAUACAAAAUUAAAAAGCCUCAAAACCUGUAGAAUUUUUUUUUUUUUUUUUGUAAAUAAUAUUAUUAGUUGAUGUUAUUUUAGCAUAACCUUUUGUGAUUGUAUUUGUCUUUAUUUGUAUUUGCAGUGUUUUGUAAUCUUAACUAUUUAUUUUUUCAAAUAUUAUCUAUUAAUUGUUUUCAACUAUAUCUAUGAUACACUUUUUAAACAACCUAUUAUUUUCAAAGAAUUCAUAUAUAUGAUAUGUGAUGUAAGAAAAUGUGAUAUGGAUCUAUAAAUUUGAUGCAUUUUGCAAAACUUGUUUUUGUUAAAAAGAAUAUGAGGAGAGAAAUGCUUAAUACUUUCUAAGUUGCCAAAUGUUUAUAAUGAAAUGCAAUAAAAUUUCAAGCAUGUACUAUUUUGCAUUGAACUGUUAUAUAAAGCACUUUUAAAAUUUAUCACUGUCUAUAACGAUUUGAAAAUUAGUUUCGUAUUUGUGCCAAUUUCAAGGUUAGGAAAAAAGAAAUUUUUAUGAAUUCUUCGUUUUGGAUUUUAGGUAGUUAAAAUGUUAAUCAUCAGAUGAAGUUAAAAUAAAAAAAAGUUCAUUUAACUUUAAUCUAUUUUAAACUAACUCUAUUAUUUUAUCGAGUGCUUAAAGUUCGAAAAAAUCCGUCAAUAAUAUCAGUAAGAAAAGCAUUUUCAAUGCAAUAUUGGUAAUUAUAUUUAAUUCAUGUUAUUAUCUUUAUCAAAUAAUAAUAAUCAAUUGUAUCUGGAGGAUUUCUAAUUGAAUCUCAAAUUUUUUUUAAUAAAAAAGAGAUUUUUACACAAAUUCAUGUGUAAAAAUAAAUUAUGGAUUAGAUUACAUAACUGCGAAUUAGUUUAAUUUAUGAAUAUGUGUUUCUUCAGGCUCAUAUCUCAUCCCUAAAUUUUGAACAUUUCAUUAAAAUUUAUGCCUAAUAGUAUUAAAUGUAUUUUAAUUGCAUUCAUUUUAAUAAAUUAAUUGAUAGCUACAUCACUUGAUUCUAGAGGCAAAGUAUAUCGUUAUGCUUUUUGUUUAAUGUCUAUUAAUUGAAUAAAACUUCCUUUGUGUUCUUAAAUCAAUAAUUUUUUGAUAAAUUACUUUAGCCAAUUGUUAAUUUUUUUAAGGAUUAUUUCAAUUUAAAUAUGUUAAGUACUAAGAAAAGGGGUGUGUUUUCUGUUAAAAUGUUAUUCAUUUGAUGUAUUUUUCUAUUGAAAAAUUUGUAGAUAAAUGUUAAUUUUAAAAGGAAGGAUUUAAAAACAAAAAUAUGAUAUUUACGUUAAAUUCAAAUAAAUUACCUUGCUUAAACAAUGCAGUUUUGAAAAUAUUACUAUGCAGUUUUCAACACAUAACUAUGCAGUCUUCAAUAUUUUGCUAUGCAUAUUUUGCAUCAAGAGCUGAUACUCAAAAACUAAUUUGAAUAAUGUGUUAUUAAUAAUGCAUUAAAUAAUUUUAACUUUAAUUGCUAUAAUUAUAUGAAUUAUAUCAUGCAGUUUUCAAUAUAUUACUAUGCAUAUUUUACAUCAAGAGCUGAUACUCAAAAAUUAAUUUGAAUAAUGUGUUAUUAAUAACGUGGUAAGUUUUUUUAACUUAAGUUAUAUAAAUUAUCAAAAUUUUUAUUAUCACAAAAUAAAAAUUCUUGUUCUAGGUAGUAAAAUAAAAGUUAAUGGUUCUGAAAAAUUAUGAAAAUGAACUUUAAUAGUUUUUUAUUAUUAUCGUAUAUCUUUUGAUACUGUAUAAAGAUAUUAAUUUCAGUUUAAUAAAGUACUCCAGUUGUUAAAAAGCACUUUUUAUUUAAAGGUGUGCAUGCGUAUAUUAACUAUCACAUUAUUCUGUUAAUAUCAGUAUUGUAUCUGUGAUAUUCAUCUUAGUACUUUCUAGUACGAAUCACUAUUCAAUGGCUGGAAGCCAUAUUUUAGACUGUAAUCCUAAAUCAAGAUUUUUAAUACUAACUUCUUGUAUUCAUGUGUAAUAUUAAAAGUUCUGUUGUAUUUUAAUUCACUUAGUUGCAUAAAUCCUGAAUCAGAGAUCUCAAUAUGAAUGGUGUUUUCAACACGAAAUUAAGAAUUAACAAAUGCUUGCAAUCUUAUGUGUGUGAUGUGAUAUUCUGAAAAAUCUUAUAUUCUUCUAAAUAAAACGAAUCAGUAAAUUAAAAGAUGAAUAUAAAUUUCUAGUGGAUAUUAAAAAAUAAGAGAUGUUGCUUAAUUUAGAUUUUUUAAAAAUUGCUGUAUUUACUUACCUGAUUUGGUUCUAUUCCAGCACUUGUUAAUAUGUAUGUUAAUUCAUUCAUUGUUAAUUUCAGUUUUGUAAAAAUAAGACUUAACAUGGAAAAAUGUACAACAAUCAACAUAUUGUGCCAAAAAUGGCAAAUUGUGCCAAAAAUGGCAAUGAAAAAGAAUAAAUAUAAUGAACCUGACAUAUCUAGAACAUAUGUCAAUGCCUUCUUAUUUAGAAAACACCAUCCAUACAUAUGUGUUAAUUCUGCUAUUAAUAAUAUGACCUAACUAAUAACUUUUUCUAAUUUCUCCUAAAUUGUUGACACCUAAAUCCUAUAUAACUGCAAUCCUUUUCAUAUACAAAAUGAAAUUGGUGUAUAUUUAAGAAAAUCUUUUAAAAUUCUUAAUUAAGAUAAAUUAUGUGGUAAAAAUUAUAAAAGUAAGCAAAUUAAUGAUUUUCAAUUGGUGUAAGGUCAGCUGUUGAAAAUGUAAUAUUUGUAGUAUCGCAAGGCUAAAUCAAGUGUGAAUAAUUUAGUCUCCUGAUUUAGUUGAACCAUUUUUUGUACUAAGUUUAAAAAUAAAUAGCUUUGUAAAUUUUAAGUAACUCAAGAAUUAAUUUAAAGAAACUACCUCUUGUAAAUUCUUCAGCCACUGUUUUCUGUGUUGUGUAUAUAAUGGAGUUUAUAAUUGUUAAAUAAUUAAUUGUGAAUCUCUUUUUGGAAUUAUUCCUUUCUCAAUGGGUUAUAUGCAUCCCAUGUAUUUGAUUGCAACAGCUGUUGAAAAUUUAAUUUUAUGUCUGUUUUUGUAUCACUAAUGAAAUUUGCUGAAUAUCUGGGUUUGAGCAACUUGCUCUCGUUAUGAAAUUCUAUUAAUUUGAAUGUAAGUUCUUGCCUUCUAACUUUUACUUUUUUUUAAACUGAAGAAAAAAACAUAUACUUUUUUUUUUUGGUGUUUAAAAUUGUAGAACAUUUGUGUGAAAGUUUUUAUUCUUUCUCAUUCAAGAAUAUUUGGUUUGUUUAGGCAAUUGCUCCAUGCUUGCACAUUUUUUAUAAAUAUAAAAAAAUGCUUGGAUUUUUAUAAUUACUAGUUAGAAGAAAAAAAUUUUGUUAGCAGAAAUGAUAUACCAUAUAUAUUUCUGUCACAUCUGAUACCUAUUGCUCAAUUAAGAUGUCUUCUAUGAUGUUAUUGCAAAAAAUAUAUACUAUUUAUAUGUAUCUAUUUUCACCUGUAGUUUCUUUUAAUUUCUAUUUCAAAUUACAUUGGUUGUAAUUAAAGUAUAAAUAUUCUACUUAUGAAACAUUUAAUAUACAUGAAAAGAUUACUUUUACAGUAUAUUAAAAACAAAAAUAGCUCUUGCAUAAUAAAUCAUGACUUUAAAAAAGAAACAAAUUAUUGACACUUAGAAAUAAAUGAGUUUAUAUUGAUUUCAAUCUAUAGAUAGCGAAUGUUAGAAAAAUAUUUUGGGUUGAUGUUACUUCUAAAUGCAAGUCAAUGACUAAUUUACUGCUCAACUGUUGGAGACCUAGAAUAUUUCUUGUUAAUGAAUUACUUUGCACAGUUAUUUCAUAAAAGUGUUCUUAAAAAGUCAGUAAACUUGUUACUCGAGCUGAAUUUGAAAUUUUAAUUUGCGACUGCGUAACUGAGUGAUACUAUUUGUCCUUGUUUUGUAAUAUUUCCCAUUAUACCAAUAAGUUAAUAUAAUAGUUGAAUUUAUUUUCAAAAAUUUUAUCAGCAAAAUGUUAAUUGACUAUAACUUACUUUUCCCCCUCAAAGUUGUGUAGAUUGCAUAUUAGCACACAAGCCAUUUUAAGGAGAUCAUGCUCUAUAGAAUAUCAGAAUUAAUAAGGUUCAAUUGUAACUACAUAUAUUUAAAAAAAAAAAAAAUCUUAAAUCAUAUAAACAACCUUCAGUUCCCUCUCCAUUAUACAACUGUGUUUCGUAAAUUUUCUACAAGUUGAUGAUUUAGAGUUACUGAUUAUAACAAAAAUUAUAUUGAAUGAUUUAUGUAACAUAUUAACAAUCACAGUAAUAAAAAAGGAACGAAAAUUUUUAAUCAUAGAGUUUUUUAAAGCAAGUAAAAAUUGUCUAACAAUAAUAUUUGUGAGUUAAAUUUGAAUUGUGAAUAAACAAAAGAAAAUCAGAAAUUAUUAAAUAAUUAUAUAAUAAAUUAUCUAAUUUUAAUAAAAAAUUUAAAAUAAUAGUUUACGCCUAAAACAUUGUUUUCAUAGUCGUUAAAUUAUUAUCUUGAAAGUAUAUGAAUUGGGGACAGAAAAAAUGGUAUAAAAUAAGAUAAGUUCAAAAAAGGAAAUUGUUCAGGUGAAAAAACUUAAAACAUUAUUAAACUUCUUUUAUACUUAGUCAAUAAUUUGAAAUGUAGGUGCGGGGUGUUUAGUGUUUAAUUAUGUAUACAUUGAUAUAUAUAUAUAUAUAUUAGCUUGCUUAAAAAUGUUCCAUUCAAGUAAAAAUUGUAUAGUUUUUUUUGCGCAUCUUACCAUUUUCAAAACUCCCCUCAUUGCUUCAUACCAGCCAGAUCUUUCUUCUACUUUUUUUUAACUAUUACUAUUAAAGUUGCCUCUUAAAGCAUUCUCCUGUUUAGUUUGACAGUCUGUUAUGUAUAUAAAAAUUUUUAAAAAAAUUUAUUUUUUCAUUUUUAGUCCUCGAUUAUUUAAAUUGGGUCUAGUCUGGAGAGGAGUAACCAGUCAACCAGAGGCCCAUAGAAAUUUUUUUUAGUCCUCGACUAUUUAAUGUUUACAAGGUCUGAAUAUCUGAACAAAUAUAUGAAGUUGGUGGCAGGACACAAUCUUUUAAACAAAUUAUAAUAAUAAUAAAAAGUCAUUAACAUCAAUCCAAGAUGAAUUAUAAUAAUAAUAAAAAGUCAUUAACAUCAAUCCAAGACAAAUUAUAAUAAUAAUAAAAAGUCAUUAACAUCAAUCCAAGACUAUUUUCAAUGCCAACAGAAAAAACUGAGUUGGUUUUAAAACUACUUUACCAAGCUUGUCUCUUCUAUAGAGUUGUCCCAAUUAGUUUACAAUUAAACAAAAAGAACCGCACGUCCUGCAGUUAUGAGUCUGAGGUUACAUCUUGUAUGAGACACUUUUGCUUAUUUUUUUAGAUAUGGAAUGUAAAAUUAAUGAAUCCCUUUAAAAAAUAAAAGAUAUGAUUCUACUAAAAAAAUAAAAUAUUUUAUUAGAGAUAAUAGUUUAAGAGCUAACUAUUUUUCUUCUUUACCCUUGAGAUCUCGGAUUUACUAACAAUUAUAUUUUAUGUUGUUUUUUUUUAAAUGAGUGUUUUGUAUAAUUUUUAUUUAUGCAGAAAACUAUUGUUUUAUAAAAUGCAUUUGUUAUUCUUUCAAUGCUGAUUCUAUAUAUUUAAAAAUUGUUUUCACUGUAUGCUUUAUUUUUCCUAUGCUGAGCAAUAACUCAUUUGUUAUUUCUUCAUAUAUAUAUGUGUGUGUGCACUAUAUUUAGUAUAUCUUACGAUGUUGGCCAAAUAUGUAAUUUGUCUUAUAGAAAAUCUGAAAUAUGUUUUUUUGUCUGAUAUAUAUGUAUAUACAUAUAUAUAUAUAAAUGUGUGUGUCUCUAUGUUUCUCUUAAAGCAUCCUAUAGAUGUAGGUCAGCUUUGCUGUUUUUUACUAACUAUAGAUUUAUAUUUGAUAUUUAAUCAUCUGUUUGAUUUUUUCCCUCUUAAUUCAAUCAACUUGAGUACCAUGACCUAUUUUUAUAACAGUUUUUAGAAAUUUCCUAAACUUUUAAUGUGAAUCAAACUUUGUAUAUAACUGUUGAAAAUAUGUGAAAAUUACUUGUAAAAUAUAUUACACAAAAGCAGAUCUUUAUUUCAAUAAUUAUUUAACAUUCACUUGAUUCAUACUUAGUGUUUUUAGUUGGGCAAUUUUUAAACUCUCAGGAUAAUUCGCUCGAGAGUGCCAUCAAGUAUCAACUUCAUUGAUGGUAAAAUAAUGUAUCAAUCAUAGAAUUGUUAUAUAUACUGCUUAAUAGUCUGUAUCAAUUGUUUACAUUACUGAAUUUUGUUUUAUAUGAAUGCUGCUUUCCAAUGAUUAUGGUUUUGUAAUUUUUUCUCAAUCACUGAUGUAUUAGUAAUUUUUUCUAUAACAAUUUUUGUUUUAUCUUAGGUAUGUUAUUUUAGUGAUUCAGAUUUAUUUUGAUAAAAUUGUUAUUAUAAUCUAAAAUUAAUCAUUGUAAAUAUUGUAAUUUAAAUUAUAAGGCACAAAAUGUGUGUAUAUAUAGACCUGGAAUAAUCAGGUUUUGCAGUUAACAUAUUUGAAUGCUGUUGUUGAAGUUGAUAGCUUGCUUAGAAUAAGGACUGUUUAAGGAUUUCGAAUAUUAUUUAUUUUAACACCAAUGGUACUGAAAAAAAAAACAUUAACAAAAUGCAGCAUUUUAGUAUUUAAAAAAAUGACAAAAAUACAUAAUUUCCAAAUUAUAAAAAAAUAUUUUCCCCAACAAACUUUGUCUUUACGCACAAAUUCUAUUAUAAUAAUAUUUAUGAAAAAUUGCACUAGAUAUAGUGUAUUAAGCAAAUUAUUUAUUGUUUAAUGCACUAAAAAAAUAUUCUGUUUCUCACCACUUAAACAAUAAAUAUAGUUUAAUUCAUUGAAAGUCAAAUUAUUGAUACUUCUGUUUUAAAAAAUCAGCUAUAUUGGGUUUUUUUCCCUUAAAACUCUUUUAUUUUAUUUAUUUGCUUUACAUUUUAUGAAAACUACUUCGUAUUAUGUAUUAUAAAUUAAAUAACAUAUAAUUUUAGAAAUAGCAUGAUGUUGUGGUAUAUUUAAUCAUCAAAAUAUUGAAGUUUAACAGUAUGCUGCAUGAAGCAAUAUAUUUUAUGUUAAUAAUAUUUAAAUUACAACGAAAAAACUAGAAAAAGAGCAAUAAAAUUUACCUAUGCAUAUAACACUUACAUCAUUAUGAAAGUGCUGUGAUUUGUCUAGGAAGUUGAUUAUGUAUCUAAAGUCUUAGUUAUGUUGUAGUAAUAAUUUUAUUGAUUUAAUUAAAGCAAAUCAGAAUUGUACAAAGUGAUAUGUGUAUGAUGUUUCGAUUGGGGGGGAAAUGUAUUCUGUUAUACGGAUUCAUUAAAUUUGUCCCUUACAUUAUUUUUUAAUGUAAUUAAUCUUGAUGGUUUCUCUUUUUUUUGUGAAAAGCAAUAAAUAAAUAUGGAGCACUAAUUCCCAUUAUACAUUCUGUUAUUCUUAUAAGAAUAGUGUGUGUAUUAUUUUAAGAGAAGUUAGGCAAUAAAUAGUGAAAUUUCAUGCUAUUUAAAAAUAAAAAAAAAUAGUAAUUGCAAUAGUAUUGUACGAAAAUGAAUAAUCUGAAUUCUACUAUUUUUAUACACAUGUUACUUAGUACAAAAAAACAUUACUAUGUUUAAUAUAUUUCAUUAUAAAAGAGCAUUUAAUACAGAAAUAUAUUUAGGAAAAGCCACAAUCUGUUAUGAUAGCUACUACCUCAUUCCUGUUAAAUCAUGCCCACUUAUUAAUAUUUUAGCUGAAUUUCUUUCACGAAUUUUUAUCCUAAAAUUAGUCAGCCACUUUUGUAAUGUAAUAAUAAAAGAGUACUAAAGGAAUGCAAUAAAAAAUAAAUGAAUAAAUUUAAAAAGAAAAAAAAAAAAAACUUUUUAUAUCUUUUCUCUCCAGUAAAAAGUUACAUGAAAGCAGGAUUUCAUGCUGAAACUUCUGUGUGUUAUAUACUAUCGAAGACCUUGUUUAAAGCUUCAAUACAGAUGGUGCUAUUUGUACCUUAUGCAACCAUGUUUGUAGGGUUUCUAAAAAGUUUGCUUUCUGAUUUCUUUUUGUACUGACUUUCCAGCACUUAAAGUGCUUGACUUCCUGUAAAAGAACUAUUAUCUGCUAUUGAAAAAUAAGAUCAUUGUUAAAAGUUCUUUAAAAUUAUUUUUUCCCUUUCAUUUGGGGACUAACCUGUUAUAAAAGUAGCUAAAAGCUUAGUUACUUUCUUAAAAGCACCAAUUUUUAAAAAAAUAAUGAUUUUUCUAUAAAAUAUUUUUGUAGUUAAUUGCUCUUUACAUAAUUCAAUUGUUGAAAAAAAAAAAAAAAGAAGUUUUAUGUCAUUAUUUAUAUUCUUGAGGCAUUUAAAAUAUUUUAUUACAAGAUUUUAGUUCCAUUGAAAUUCGGUCCAGUUUUUAUAUUAGUUGAAUUAGAAUAGAUAUAUUUUAAUGAUGGAAAACAAAGAUUGAAUAUUCUUUAUAAUUUAAAGUUCAUUUUAAAAAUAUUUCAAUCUUGAACUCAGUAUUAGCAGUCCAUGUGCCAAUACUAAUUGUUUCAAUUGAAAAUCGUAUACUGGAUUUGUGUAUAAAAUGUGGUCACUGAGAAAAUUUUCAUUAACUCUUAUUUUAAUAUUUAAUGUGUUUUGUUUAGGUUUUUUUUUUUGGAACUAUGAGUUUAUUAACUAUCAUAAACAAUCAUUUUGUCGAACUUAUAUAUUUACCUGUAAUAAAAAAUAUUUUCUAUAUGUUGAGAGUUGUUUAUUAAUGUGAAAAAUGCUGUAAAGACAGCUAUUAUUUAAUAACUUGUAUGAUUGUGUCAACUUGAUGCCAUUAAUAAAAUAAUGUAGUUUUUGUAAUACUUCAAAAGAAACAUUAACUUACUUUAAGAAAGAACUUUUAAGUUAGAAAUAUAACAGUUUAAAAUAUGAGUUGAUUCUUUGUGACCACAUAUUGGUAAAUAAAAAAAAUUUAAGUCUUCCACAGUGAACAAAAAUUAACUGUGCCAAACAUCCAGUUGAAGCUUUUAUGUUAAUUUGUUUUUAAACUAUAAUUAUACACUCAAUAUUUCUCAAAUUAUCAUCAAAGUAAUAAAUUUAUUAAAUAAAAAUUCUAUUAUCUACCAGUUUUGUCUUGUAAUAUUUGACAGAUUGCACCAAUAUUUUUUCAUGUACAUAUCAAUAAGCUAUGAAGAAAUAAAAUUUUUGGUGUUACA
rnacentral:misc_RNA from 1 species